GAUGAACGCUAGCGGGAGGCUUAACACAUGCAAGUCGAGGGGCAUCACGAGGUAGCAAUACUUUGGUGGCGACCGGCGCACGGGUGAGUAACACGUAUGCAACCUACCCUGUACAGGGGGAUAACCCGGAGAAAUUCGGACUAAUAUCCCAUGAUGAUAUUGAGGGGCAUCCUUUAAUAUUUAAAGCUCAGGCGGUACGGGAUGGGCAUGCGGAACAUUAGCUAGUUGGCAGGGUAACGGCCUACCAAGGCUACGAUGUUUAGGGGACCUGAGAGGGUUAUCCCCCACACUGGUACUGAGACACGGACCAGACUCCUACGGGAGGCAGCAGUGAGGAAUAUUGGUCAAUGGGCGCAAGCCUGAACCAGCCAUCCCGCGUGAAGGAAGAAGGCGCUAUGCGUUGUAAACUUCUUUUCCAGGGGGUGAAUAAUUCCGAUGUAUCGGGAGAUGACGGUACCCUGGGAAUAAGCAUCGGCUAACUCCGUGCCAGCAGCCGCGGUAAAAGUC
rnacentral:rRNA from 1 species